GUGCUCGCUUCUGCAGCACAUAUACUAAAAUCAGAACGAUACGGAGAAGAUGAGCAUGGCCCCUGCACAAGGAUGACAGGCAGAAUUUUAGAGUUAUCAUCUGAAGCCUUUAUUU
ensembl:snRNA U6 U6 spliceosomal RNA